AGUCGUAACAAGGUUUCCGUAGGUGAACCUGCGGAAGGAUCAUUACUGAGUGCCGGUCCCUCGUGGACCGAACCUCCCACCCUUGUCUCUUGUAUACCCUGUUGCUUUGGCGGGCCCACUGGGAAUCCCCAGUCGCCGAGGGGCACUGUGCCCCUGGGCCCGUGCCCGCCAGAGCGCCCUUGAACCCUAAUGAAGAUGGACUGUCUGAGCAUGAUUGAUAAUAAUCAAAACUUUCAACAAUGGAUCUCUUGGUUCCGGCAUCGAUGAAGAACGCAGCGAAAUGCGAUAAGUAAUGUGAAUUGCAGAAUUCCGUGAAUCAUCGAAUCUUUGAACGCACAUUGCGCCCCCUGGCAUUCCGGGGGGCAUGCCUGUCCGAGCGUCAUUUCUGCCCUCAAGCACGGCUUGUGUGUUGGGUGUGGUCCCCCCUGGGGACCUGCCUGAAAGGCAGUGGCGACGCCCGCCUAGGUCCUCGAGCGUAUGGGGCUUUGUCACCCGCUCGGGAAGGAUCUACGGGUGUUGGUCUUCCAUAAUUUUUCCACGGUUGACCUCGGAUCAGGUAGGAGUUACCCGCUGAACUUAAGCAUAUCAAUA
rnacentral:misc_RNA from 1 species